CGGAUCUGCCCUUGAGAGGGAAACAACCUGCCGAAAGGCGGGCUAAUGUCCCAUAAGACCACAGGGUCGCAUGAUCCAGAGGUCAAAGCUCCGCAAGGGGCGCUUGAGGAGGAGCCCGAGUCCUAUCAUGGUAGUUGGUGAGGUAACGGCUCACCAAGCCGUUGACGGGUAGCCGGCCUGAAAGGGUGAUCGGCCACACUGGCACUGAGACACGGGCCAG
rnacentral:rRNA from 1 species